GUGCUGGUGGUGGUUGUGGUGCCUUUAAUCCCAGCACUUGAGAAGCAGAUAUCUGAGUUUGAGGCCAGCCUUGUCUAUGGAAUUCUAGGACACCCAGGAUGACACAGAGAAAUCCUGUCUUGAAAAACCAAACCAAAUCAACCAACCAACCUACCAAUCAACCAUUCAACCCACCCACCAAUGAGCAAACAAAAAGCAAAAGCAACCCUCUUAUAUAGUAAUUCAGCCACAGAGUGAGAGGAGAGAGGCUCAGGAAGUAAGAUCCUUGCCACAUUACUACAUUACUGCCAUACCGAAUUGCUGGCUUGGGUAGCAGUGAGCAGGGGCCUCCUCCUUCUUCAAAAAAGUUCUCCUCUGAGGGCAGCAAGUGUUUGAGUCACCUCUGUGUGGGGCAUGCUGUGAAGCACUUGGCAGAGCUAUGAGACCUGAUCCCUUUACAUCAUUCAAAGGGGAUUAUGAUGCACGGUGUGGUGGAAAGUUUUGCUAAAAAGUGCCUUUCGGGCUCAGGGAAAGCGUGUUUUGAAUGUCUCUAGCAGAAAGCAUAGCUGUGCAUAGAACGUAAGAGCAGAAAUUGGUGUCAAGAGGAAAUCACACAGCCUGGGCCCCACGCUGUAGAAUGAUGUCAUUCAUAACCAGGGUGGUUUUCUCAUCUCCCCUCUAGAAACACUCCCCUCUACAUGCCCUGGGGCGUGUCUCCUAGGAGAUCGAAGUUGGCAGUGAAGAUUAGCCAUCGUGACAAUCAUGACUUUUCUUCUUCAGGUUUUCAAGUUUGGAAGUAUAAUCAUUAAAUAAUUCCUCUCUAGUGUCUGCUGGGGAGUCACUAGCUGGGGACAGCUUCUCUUCAUUCAUCUCUCAUUUCUUUUGUGGUCAUUGGAGAGACUUUUCUCGUUUGCAUAGAACCUCUAAACAUCCCUUUAAGCUGACAGGAUACCUCAGUGGGCAAAGGCGCUUGCCACUCGAUCCCUGGGACCUACGUUAACUUAAAGCAAGAACUGACCCCCGUAAGUUGUCCUCUGACUUCCACACGUGUGCUGCAUGUCCUUCCCCCCAAAUAAACUGGGGGGGUGGGUUGUCUUAAAAAUAACACGUGGUCUCAGAAUUCAGGUAAUAUAGAAAAACAAAAAACAUUAAUACAAUCUUCAACCCAGAGAGACUAGUAUGUGCAUCUAAUUAACUGUUAAUUAAAUUAUGGCUACUACUGGGGUGCUGUGUGGUGUCUUGGUGCCUAGUUCAUCAGAAGUCCUUCCAGGAUGGAGCAAUUUGCUUAGAGUUCCUCUCCUGGCAUCUACAAACACCCCUUUUCUUCACCAACUUGGAAAACGCAGUCAGCAGCCAUGGCAGUUUGCUUGAAUUUCAGGCCUCCUCACUGACUCUCUGCCUAACUCACGUAAAGAUGACUUACAAAAUGGAGGAGCUUCUAGUCGCUGGUGCAGAGACCCCACCCAUGCAGGAGAACAUGGCGCACCCCAGAUACUACCUUCAAUACCGGACCGUCUCUGCGUCUGCUCAGAGUGGUGGACUACUGCUGAUGGUGACAGGAAUCAGCUGUCAGGGGAGGUCUAGUCCUGAAACACUCCCACUAAAGAGGAAAAUGUCACUUCGACUCCACUACAAAGUUUUUAGUCUUUGAACUCCGCAAACACUUCUACUGGAAGAAGAAAGGUGACCCAGGUUAGUCAACAGAUGGGCAGAUCCCAGCACAAACACAACAGUAACAAACAAAACAAAACAAUAUGUCUUCUCCAAACAUCAUCGUUCCAGUGGCAAGUCCAGUGAGAUCCCUGAUGUGAAACUUUAGACUGUCUGGUUCCCUAAUUGGUUCUUGAUUUGGUCAAUAAAGGCGGGAGCCAUUGCUGGGCAAAGAGUAAAGGUGGGACUUCUGGGUCCCAGGAGGAAAAAAGAGAUGUGAGGAAAGAGCAGAGUUUUUUGGCCCCACUUUGGAAGGAGAAGCACAAUACUACCAUGUAAGAUCUUGUAAGCUAGGACCAAUGGCCUCCACUGGUGGCAGAGGCUGGCUGAUAUAGGCUAGCUGAUAAGGUUAGGGCAGCAGAUUCUGCGCCCAGCAAUUGCGCCUAUCUGCCAAGUUCUAAAAUAAUAAAGCUGUCUGACUGUUUUUCAUCUGAGGAGCAAAGGUGGGCAGAGAA